UGUAGGCUGGUUUUCCAGGCAAAUCCGGAAAAUCAAGGCUGAGGCGUGAUGACGAGGCACUACGGUGCUGAAGCAACAAAUGCCCUGCUUCCAGGAAAAGCCUCUAAGCAUCAGGUAACAUCAAAUCGUACCCCAAACCGACACAGGUGGUCAGGUAGAGAAUACCAAGGCGCUUGAGAGAACUCGGGUGAAGGAACUAGGCAAAAUGGUGCCGUAACUUCGGGAGAAGGCACGCUGAUAUGUAGGUGAAGUCCCUCGCGGAUGGAGCUGAAAUCAGUCGAAGAUACCAGCUGGCUGCAACUGUUUAUUAAAAACACAGCACUGUGCAAACACGAAAGUGGACGUAUACGGUGUGACGCCUGCCCGGUGCCGGAAGGUUAAUUGAUGGGGUCAGCGCAAGCGAAGCUCUUGAUCGAAGCCCCGGUAAACGGCGGCCGUAA
rnacentral:rRNA from 1 species